rnacentral:rRNA from 1 species
AAACUAACAAGGAUUCCCCUAGUAGCGGCGAGCGAACGGGAAGAGCCCACUUGGAAAUCUCCUUGCUUCGCAAGGCGAAUUGUAGUCUAGAGAGGCGACCUCUGCGGCUGGCCGGGGCCCAAGUUCCCUGGAAAGGGGCGUCAGAGAGGGUGAGAACCCCGUAGGCACGGCUUCCGUCGCUCCACGAGGCGCUUUCGCAGAGUCGGGUUGUUUGGGAAUGCAGCCCAAAGCAGGUGGUAAAUCUCAUCUAAGGCUAAAUACCGACGGGAGACCGAUAGCGAACAAGUACCGUGAGGGAAAGAUGAAAAGAACUUUGAAAAGAGAGUCAAAAAGUGCUUGAAAUUGUUGAGGGGGAAGGGAUUGGAGGUUGCGGGUGCGCCCAGGCAAACGCCGGUCCUAGCGGACCGGCUGAAUGCGCUGGGCGCUGGUCAGCGUCGGCUGGCCGGGCGGGACAACAGCAGGCGUCGACAGCCUGCCCAUGUCGCCCGGGCGGCCGAGGAAUGAAGGGUGCUCUUCGAGUCCUUCGGGAACUGCACCUUCAGGACGCUGGCGGAAGGCUUCCAAUCUGCCC